CCUAGGGAGGCAGCAGUGGGGAAUAUUGCGCAAUGGGGGAAACCCUGACGCAGCAACGCCGCGUGAGUGAAGAAGGCCUUCGGGUUGUAAAGCUCUUUAAUCAGGGACGAAGAAUGACGGUACCUGAAGAAUAAGCUCCGGCUAACUACGUGCCAGCAGCCGCGGUAAUACGUAGGGAACAAGCGUUAUCCGGAUUUACUGGGUGUAAAGGGCGUGUAGGCGGGCCUGCAAGUCAGAAGUGUAAUCUGGGGGCUUAACCCCCAAACUGCUUUUGAAACUGUGGGUCUUGAGUGAUGGAGAGGCAG
rnacentral:rRNA from 1 species